rnacentral:lncRNA from 10 species
AGUGGCGGGGUUCUCGCCGGUCCUGCGGGUCGCUGCUUGGCUGUGGGUUAGCAGCACCCUGAGCGGAGCGGAAGAGCUGCCCGCCGCCGCGUAACCCCGAGGCCGAGACUCCUGGCCUGGCCUCCUUGGGCCCACGACGCCUGCCCCGCGGAGCGGACCCAUGGGCCUGAGGUUUGUGUGCGGGGCCUCAGGCGAGCGCUGGCGCAGCCUGUCCCCCAUCGUCUGCGCCCUGCGGGCCUGGCCCUCCCCGUGGAAGGACCGCGGGCUUCGGGGCCCCACGCUGGGGGGCUGACUCCUGCCACACACACAGCGGUGGCCGCGGGCCUGGGGCGGCAGCACAGCCAUUCUGCUCGGGCUGCGUGAGCUGACCCCGCUCUCUGUGCACCUACUUUUGCUGCGUUUGGUGCUGAGCCUGAAGUCCCAGGACAGGCGGCUGAGGGGGAAAGAUGGUGUGAAUUGGGUGGGCAGAGACAACUGAAAGCCACAGGACCCGGUUGGCACCUUUUUGGCCGCCUGCGCCUUUGCCUGCAGCCCCGCUCCCUGGGUCACCCGAAGGAGGAGCUGGCGCUCUUUCCGGGCGCAGAAGCACCCGACCCACGCUGGAGGAAACGGUCCCUCUGGGCAGGAGAAGCUUUGGGCCUGGCUGGAGCACACUCACGGAACCACGCCAACGCCUGGCCUGUAGCCAGCUCCCACCUCCCCUCCCACCUUCUAAAAUGCUUGCGGAUCUCACGUGGCCGACCCUAACCAGAUACACAUGGGGAAAGGAAUCAGGUGGCACACAUACCGCCUUUACUCCAUAGAGAACUUCCAAUUGUGGGUAAGAACAAAGCCCCACCUCUUCCUAAUAGAUGCAGUUUUCCACCUGCAGCCAAAAAGACAACCUGUUAUUAGCUUUUUUCCCAGAGGACAGGCAUCUCUAUGAAACUGCCAUUGCAAAAUUUGCCGACAGUGAGAUAACCAGCUCCAUUUUGCUUCUAACCUCCAUGCCCUCCUUGUUUACUGCUGCACGCAGGUUGAACUGUGGGAGGAACUUAGUUUAAAACAAAGAUGAUAACAGCCCUUUCCCAAAGGAAACCUUUCCUGGGGAUUAGCCUGCUUUUGUGGGACCAACAGAUUAGCCACAAGAUUAGAAACUACGGUUGAAGAGUCACGCAGCGGGAGGCUACAGGAUUCUGACCCUCCCCAAACUGCUCCUGGCGAUAACAUCACCAUCGUAAAGCCUAAGAUCAGCACUUGGUGGGUCACCUGGCACCACCCAGGCUCAUCUGAUGUUGUGGCACCCAGGAACUGACUCAGUGCGAAAACAGCUUCGACUCCCUGUGAUUUCAUCUCUGACCUGACCAAUGGGUACUUCUGACUCACUGGCUGCCCCCCACCCACCAGCUUAUCUUUAAAAACUCCAAACCCCAGAUGCUCAGGGAGACCGAGUAAUAAUAAAACUCCAGUCUCCCACACAGCUAGCUCUGCGUGAAUUACCUUUUCUCUGUUGCAAAUGCCCUUUCUUGAUAAAUUGGCUGUCUAGGUAACAGGGAAGGUGAACCCACUGGGCAGUUACACUUUUAUCCACCCUUCCAGCUGGAUCACGCGCCCUCUUCAAUGACAUGACACGCAGCUAGAGUGUAUGAGCUUGCUGCCGGCACCUUCCGUCCUGGAUCGCAUAGCAAGGCCUCAAUGGACAGCCAGGUGCCUGGUCCGGUCCCACUUUUUUUUCUGUCCUGUUCUCGUUUCCUCUUUGCUUGGCCAAAGAGGGUUGGGCCAGGGUCCUGAGUGCAAAGGCUUGGCUUGGUGAAUUAAAGUGGCAGUAGCCGUGUGGCAGAGAAAAUUUGUAGAUGGGUGAAAUCCUGGGCCUACACAGUGACAAAGUGUAUAUAGACAGCCAGCCUAGUUGGUGGAUGUGACAACCCCAGACUCUUCUAGAUUUGUGGAUCCGUGCACCUGCCAGACCUGUCUCUGAGCCAUCUGGGGAGGCUGGGUCGGCACAGACGCAACCCAGUCUCCUCCCACCUCCGAGAGUGCAGUGUCCUGAAUGGAGAACCCCAGCACCCAGAAGCAUCCACUGAAGGACUAAAUUCUACACAUGAAGGCAAACGUCCGUGGUUGACAGAAAUUACACUGGCCAGAAUCCCCAGUCCCCAUGAGGCUUGUCCAGACGCAGUGAACCAGUCGCAGCUGAUAACACACAGACCAUUCCCGAUCCCAGAGGUGCAUUUCAGGAUUCAUUCUAUUUCAUCAGGUGACGUUUUAACAGAAACAAAACCGCAGGCAGCGGGUGGGGGGAGCUGGAGGUUGGAAUCACACCAACAUUAUAGCAUUAUUACUCUAAAAAAAAUUACUUUUUUGGCUGGGUGCUGUGGCUCACACCUAUAAUUGGGGGGCCAAGGCAGGUGGAUUACCUGAGGUCGGGAAUUCGAGACCAGCCUGACCAACAUGGAGAAACCCCGUCUCUACUAAAAAUACAAAAUUAGCUGGGCGUGGUGGCACAUGUCUGUAAUCCCAGCUACUCGGGAGGCUGAGGCAGGAGAAUCGCUUGAACCCAGGAGGUGGAGGUUGUGCCAUUGCACUCCAGCCUGGGCAACAAGAGCAAAACUCCGUCUCAAAAAAAAAAAUUUUUUUUUAAGCGACACAGUCUUGCACUGUGGCCGAGGCUGGAGUGCAGUGGCUCAAUCACGGCUCACUGUAACCUUGGACUCAGCUCAAGCAGUCCUCCUGCUUCAGCCUCCCGAGUAGUUGGGACUACAGGUGCGUGCCACCACACUUGGCUAAUUUUUAUGUUUUUUUGGUAGAGACGGGGUCUUCCUGUGUUGCCCAGGCUGGUCUCGAACUCCUGGGCUGAAGCAAUCUUCCUGCCUUGGCCUCCCAGAGGGUUGGAAUUGCAGAUGUGAGGUAAUGUCCAGUUCCUUGCCUUAUUUAUAAAAUGUAAUUUAUUUUUUGAACUUUUUCCUCUUCAGAGCCUUCCAUUCGCCUUCCUGUGUAGCCAGGCUGUUAAAAAGCUGCUUUACUUUCCGCUUUCUUUCCGCAUCCCUAAAAGAAACAAAAGGCAAAUGCCCAUUUUUGGAUUAGUUCUUGGAGAGCAUCUUGCCCUCUCUCUCCCACAUCAGAACCACAUUAGCCACCGUGGCCACGUUCAGUUCAAACAGGGGGAAGUGAACCU